rnacentral:tRNA from 1 species
UCCCCAGUGGCUCAAAGGUUAAAGCGUUUGCCUGGAAUGCAGGAGGCCCGAGUUCAAUCCCUGGGUUGGGAA